AUGGGGAAACCCAGUGUGUUUCGACACACUAUCAUUAACUGAAUCCAUAGGUUAAUGAGGCGAACCGGGGGAACUGAAACAUCUAAGUACCCCGAGGAAAAGAAAUCAACCGAGAUUCCCCCAGUAGCGGCGAGCGAACGGGGAGGAGCCCAGAGCCUGAAUCAGUGUGUGUGUUAGUGGAAGCGUCUGGAAAGGCGCGCGAUACAGGGUGACAGCCCCGUACACAAAAAUGCACAUAUUGUGAGCUCGAUGAGUAGGGCGGGACACGUGGUAUCCUGUCUGAAUAUGGGGGGACCAUCCUCCAAGGCUAAAUACUCCUGACUGACCGAUAGUGAACCAGUACCGUGAGGGAAAGGCGAAAAGAACCCCGGCGAGGGGAGUGAAAAAGAACCUGAAACCGUGUACGUACAAGCAGUGGGAGCCUCUUAAUGGGGUGACUGCGUACCUUUUGUAUAAUGGGUCAGCGACUUAUAUUCUGUAGCAAGGUUAACCGAAUAGGGGAGCCGAAGGGAAACCGAGUCUUAACUGGGCGUUAAGUUGCAGGGUAUAGACCCGAAACCCGGUGAUCUAGCCAUGGGCAGGUUGAAGGUUGGGUAACACUAACUGGAGGACCGAACCGACUAAUGUUGAAAAAUUAGCGGAUGACUUGUGGCUGGGGGUGAAAGGCCAAUCAAACCGGGAGAUAGCUGGUUCUCCCCGAAAGCUAUUUAGGUAGCGCCUCGUGAAUUCAUCUCCGGGGGUAGAGCACUGUUUCGGCAAGGGGGUCAUCCCGACUUACCAACCCGAUGCAAACUGCGAAUACCGGAGAAUGUUAUCACGGGAGACACACGGCGGGUGCUAACGUCCGUCGUGAAGAGGGAAACAACCCAGACCGCCAGCUAAGGUCCCAAAGUCAUGGUUAAGUGGGAAACGAUGUGGGAAGGCCCAGACAGCCAGGAUGUUGGCUUAGAAGCAGCCAUCAUUUAAAGAAAGCGUAAUAGCUCACUGGUCGAGUCGGCCUGCGCGGAAGAUGUAACGGGGCUAAACCAUGCACCGAAGCUGCGGCAGCGACACUAUGUGUUGUUGGGUAGGGGAGCG
rnacentral:rRNA from 2 species